GACGAACGCUGGCGGCGUGCUUAACACAUGCAAGUCGAACGAUGAAGCUAGAGCUUGCCCUGGUGGAUUAGUGGCGAACGGGUGAGUAACACGUGAGUAACCUGCCCCGAACUCUGGGAUAACUGCUGGAAACGGUAGCUAAUACCGGAUAUGACCAAUGAAGGCAUCUUCUGUUGGUGGAAAGCAUUUCGGUGUGGGCUGGGCCCGCGGCCUAUCAGCUUGUUGGUGGGGUGAUGGCCUACCAAGGCGACGAUGGGUAGCCGGCCUGAGAGGGUGACCGGCCACACUGGGACUGAGAUACGGCCCAGACUCCUACGGGAGGCAGCAGUGGGGAAUAUUGCACAAUGGGCGCAAGCCUGAUGCAGCGACGCCGCGUGAGGGAUGACGGCCUUCGGGUUGUAAACCUCUUUCAGCACCGACGAAGCGCAAGUGACGGUAGGUGCAGAAGAAGGACCGGCCAACUACGUGCCAGCCGCCGCGGUAA
rnacentral:rRNA from 1 species